GACAGCAGUCGCCGCGGGAAUACGGAGGGUGCAAGCGUUAUCCGGAUUUAUUGGGUUUAAAGGGUCCGUAGGCGGACUUAUAAGUCAGUGGUGAAAGCCUGUCGCUUAACGAUAGAACUGCCAUUGAUACUGUAAGUCUUGAGUAUAUUUGAGGUAGCUGGAAUAAGUAGUGUAGCGGUGAAAUGCAUAGAUAUUACUUAGAACACCAAUUGCGAAGGCAGGUUACCAAGAUAUAACUGACGCUGAGGGACGAAAGCGUGGGUAGCGAACAGGAUUAGAUACCCCCGUAGUCCCUGUCUCUUAUAC
rnacentral:rRNA from 1 species